rnacentral:tRNA from 1 species
GCGGGGAUGGUGGAAUUGGUAGACACGCAAGCUUGAGGUGCUUGUGGAGUAAUCCGUGCCUGUUCAAGUCAGGUUCUCCGCA